rnacentral:rRNA from 1 species
AACGAACGCUGGCGGCAUGCCUAACACAUGCAAGUCGAACGAGACCUUCGGGCCUUGUUGCGCACGGGUGCGUAAGGCGUGGUAACUUGCCCUUGGGUUCGGUAUAAUUCCCCGAGAGGGGUGCUAAUACCGGUGAGUCUCUUCCGGCCAACGAUUUCUGGCCUUUGGAUGGGCGCUGGUUAGAUUCGCCGGUUGGUAGGGUAACAGCCUACCAAGGAGACGAUGCUGAGCUGGUCUGAGAGGAGGAUCAUCCACGCUGGGGCUGAGACACGGACCAGACUGCGACGGAAGGGAGCAGUAGGGAAUAUUAGACGAUGGAGGAAAGCCUAGUAAAGCAAUGUCGGGGGAGUGAUGAAGGGGUUAGGGUUGUAAAGCCGUUUUAGCCGGGAUGAGAAUGACGGUAACGGGAGAAUAAGCACCGGCUAACUACGUG